rnacentral:rRNA from 1 species
AUUGAACGCUGGCGGCAGGCCUAACACAUGCAAGUCGAACGAGUGGCGGACGGGUGAGUAAUGUCUGGGAAACUGCCCGACGGAGGGGGCUAACUACUGGAAACGGUAGCUAAUACCGCAUACCAUCGGAUGUGCCAAGAUGGGAUUAGCUAGUAGGGGGGGUAACGGCUCACCUAGGCGACGAUCCCUAGCUGGUCUGAGAGGAUGACCGGCCAUACUGGAACUGAGACACGGUCCAGACUCCUACGGGAGGCAGCAGUGGGGAAUCUUGCGCAAUGGUCGCAAGCCUGAUGCAGCCAUGCCGCGUGUAUGAAGAAGGCCUUCGGGUUGUAAAGUACUUUCAGCGGGGAGGCGGUACCAGCAGAAGAAGCACCGGCUAACUCCGUGCCAGCAGCCGCGGUAAUAC